UCAUGCACCUCGAUGACAAAAACGUCCACCCGCAGGUCGGUCCAAGGUCCGGUGUCACCUCGAUUGUGUUAUAUUUGAGCAAAAAUGAGCAGGGGUUUGAUAAUAUAACUUGUUUUUAGGUGCACGCGCUGUUGCUUAUUUCUCGUGGAGUAUUUAUUAAGGAUCAGUUUUUAGUGGAUUGAGAGAAUGGCGGAGGCUCCGGAAGACGUGCACACGGAUGACUGUCUCACCGAAUACACACACAUCUACAGCCAGGACCUGCUCAAGGAUCAAGUGGCCUUUAUAACAGGCGGCGGCUCCGGCAUCGGCUUCCGUAUCGCAGAGGUUCUGAUGAGGCACGGCUGCGACACUGUGAUCGCCAGCAGGAAUCUGGAGAAGCUCACUGAGGCGGCGAAGAAGCUGACCAGUGCCACGGGACGUCACUGCCUGCCCCUGCAGGUGGACGUGCGUCAGCCGGACACCAUCUCCACCGCCGUGGAUGAGAUGCUCAAAGAGUUCGGACGUGUCGAUAUCCUUAUCAACAACGCAGCAGGGAACUUCCUGUGUCCUGCCACCGCUCUGUCCUUCAAUGCCUUCAAAACGGUAAUGGAGAUUGACACCAUGGGAACGUUUAACACCAGCAAAGUCAUCUAUGAAAAAUGGUUCAAGGAUCACGGUGGCUCCAUUGUAAACAUCUCAGCCACACUCGGAUACAAAGGUCAAGCACUCCAGGUGCAUGCUGGGUCGGCAAAGGCUGCCAACGAUGCCAUGACAAGACACUUGGCAGUGGAAUGGGGUCCCAGUGGCGUGAGGGUGAACACUGUGGCACCAGGUCCAAUCUCUGGCACUGAGGGUUACCGCAGACUUGGUGGCUCUCAUGCAGAGAGCGCAGGAAUUUUCCGGACUAUUCCGCUGCAGAGGGCGGGAAAUAAAACAGAAAUGGCGCACGCCGUUCUUUUCCUGGCGAGCCGGGCGUCGUCGUACGUCACCGGUGCCACAGUGGUGGCGGACGGAGGGGCGUGGCUUACCUCGGCCAACGAUGUGGAGCGCUUGCUGGGUAUACACUCAUCUCGCUCUGCUAAACUCUGAGAGAGGCAGCACUGCAUGCAGGCAUGGAGGCCACACCUGUUAAAUUUAUUGGUUCUGACUGACACGGAGGCCACACCUCUACAUUCACUGGGACUGAUGGGUAUGAAGGCCAUGCCUCCUUCUCUACUGGGACUGACUUGUACAGAGGCCACACCUCCUUUUCUACUGGAACUGACAGGCACAGAGGCCAUGCCUUCUUCUCUACUCGGACUGACAGAGCUUUGGUCCCAGGAGAAAAGGAAAGACAAAUAAAGCUGAGCUGGGAGGAAUCAAAGACGGACACAGUCAUUAUAGAUUCUGAUCAUUAAAAUAUGUUAAAUAAUGAGAGAUACUGCACACCUUCAACUGUCUUCAUCAGUAUGUGCUACAUGGUAGGUAUGACGCUGGACUGUGAAAAAAAAUUGUACUUAAUAUGCCUUCUGGAGAUGUGUAGUCUAUUUGAGAUAAUUAUCGUUAAUGACUGGAGAUGAGAAAUAAUCAUUUCCUGAGGGGUUCUUUGUUUUAGUAUACCUUUCUAAAGGGGGUUUAAAAGGGGAACUCCCUACACUAUUAUUUCUUUACUUUUCACCUGUAGAACCUGUUUUAAAUGCAAUCUAGAUAAUCAUGUUAGAUGAUGUUUUACACUACUACAUCAAACUUAGAAAACUGACUUACCCCAUGGCUCUGUUUCACAAACUCCUUUAAAGAUUGAAGAUUUGUAAAAUGUUUAGAAAACAUGCAUGGUUUCCAUAAUAAAUAAUUUCCAUUA